CGGCUACCACAUCCAAGGAAGGCAGCAGGCACGCAAAUUACCCACUCCCGGCACGGGGAGGUAGUGACAAAAAAUAACGAUACGGGACUCUAUUGAGGCCCCGUAAUCGGAAUGAGUACACUUUAAAUCCUUUAACAAGGAUCCAUUGGAGGGCAAGUCUGGUGCCAGCAGCCGCGGUAAUUCCAGCUCCAAUAGCGUAUAUUAAAGUUGUUGCGGUUAAAAAGCUCGUAGUUGGUUCUGCGUGCCGCGCUGUCGGUUCGCCGCCUGUCGGUGUAACUGGCAUGUCGCGGCAUGUCCUGUCGGUGGUGAGCGAAGUCCACGGUUCACGGCAUAGGCUUUUAGCCCAUGUUAGGAUCGUGUGUAUUUUCGUUUGCCGAUCUCCUACUUCGGUGCUCUUAAACGAGUGUCGAGGUAGGCCGACACGUUCACUAGCAGGCUGAAAUAUCUGCCUGAAUAGUGGUGCAUGGAAUGAUAAAACAGGACCUCAGUUCUAUUUUGUUGGUUUACGGAAUAUGAGGUAAUGAUCAAUAUGGACUGGCGGGGGCAUUCGUAUUGCGACGUUAGACUUGGCAAAUGCUUUCGCGGUGAAAUUCUUGGAUCGUCGCAAGACGCACUAGAGCGAAAGCAUUUGCCAAGUAUGUCUUAAUUGAUCAAGAACGAAAGUUAGAGGUUCGAAGGCGAUCAGAUACCGCCCUAGUUCUAACCAUAAACGAUGCCAGCCAGCGAUCCGCCGAUGUUCCUUUAAUGACUCGGCGGGGAGCUUCUACCCGGGAAACCAAAGCUUUUGGGUUCCGGGGGAAGUAUGGUUGCAAAGCUGAAACUUAAAGGAAUUGACGGAAGGGCACCACCAGGAGUGGAGCCUGGGGCUUAAUUUGACUCAACACGGKAAACCUSACCAGGCCAGGACAUNKNNANGAUUGCCWGAUWGWUMGCUC
rnacentral:rRNA from 1 species